GGAGGCGGAAGCGGAGGCGCAGGCGCUGGCUGGCAGGUGUCGCUAACUGGACGGCGGUCGCCAGGGCGAGAGGCGGGAGCCGGAGAGGUGAGGCAGGACCCGGGCUCCACUGCCGCCUCUCCGAGCUCUUGUGACGCGGACCUCAGUGCCAGGAUGGCUCGGGGCGAGCGGCGGCGCCGCGCAGUGCCGGCAGAGGGAGUGCGGACAGCCGAGAGGGCGGCUCGGGGAGGCCCCGGGCGACGGGACGGCCGGGGCGGCGGGCCGCGUAGCACGGCUGGAGGAGUGGCUCUGGCCGUCGUGGUCCUGUCUUUGGCCCUGGGUAUGUCGGGGCGCUGGGUGCUGGCGUGGUACCGUGCGCGGCGGGCGGUCACGCUGCACUCCGCGCCUCCUGUGUUGCCUGCCGACUCCUCCAGCCCCGCCGUGGCCCCGGACCUCUUCUGGGGAACCUACCGCCCUCACGUCUACUUCGGCAUGAAGACCCGCAGCCCGAAGCCCCUCCUCACCGGACUGAUGUGGGCGCAGCAGGGCACCACCCCGGGGACUCCUAAGCUCAGGCACACGUGUGAGCAGGGGGACGGUGUGGGUCCCUAUGGCUGGGAGUUCCACGACGGCCUCUCCUUCGGGCGCCAACACAUCCAGGAUGGGGCCUUAAGGCUCACCACUGAGUUCGUCAAGAGGCCUGGGGGUCAGCACGGAGGGGACUGGAGCUGGAGAGUGACUGUAGAGCCUCAGGUCAGGGCCUCAGGACACCCUUUUCUCAGCCCAGACCCCCUCCAUCCUUCCCUUGCUGCCAGCAAAUGCAGCAUGAAGU
rnacentral:sRNA from 1 species